GUGAACGCUGGCGGUAGGCCUAACACAUGCAAGUCGAACGGCAGCACAGUAAGAGCUUGCUCUUACGGGUGGCGAGUGGCGGACGGGUGAGGAAUACAUCGGAAUCUACUUUUUCGUGGGGGAUAACGUAGGGAAACUUACGCUAAUACCGCAUACGACCUACGGGUGAAAGCAGGGGAUCUUCGGACCUUGCGCGAUUGAAUGAGCCGAUGUCGGAUUAGCUAGUUGGCGGGGUAAAGGCCCACCAAGGCGACGAUCCGUAGCUGGUCUGAGAGGAUGAUUCAGCAAACUUGGACUGGGGAAGCGUCCCAGCUCCCACGGGAAGCAGGAGGUGUGAAUAUUGGACAAUGGGCGCAAUCCUGAUCCAGCCAUACCGCGUGGGUGAAGAAGGCCUUCGGGUUGUAAAGCCCUUUUGUUGGGAAAGAAAAGCAGCAGGUUAAUACCCCGCUGUUCUGACGGUACCCAAAGAAUAAGCACCGGCUAACUUCGUG
rnacentral:rRNA from 1 species